rnacentral:tRNA from 1 species
GGUUUGUGGAUUAGUGGUAGAGCACUUGCCUAGCAUGCGUGAGGUACUAGGUUUGAUCCCCAGCACCA